rnacentral:lncRNA from 1 species
GAAAAAUAAAAAGAUGAACUCUUUGAGAUUAGAGGUAAUAAUAUCAAGAAAUAUCUGUUCUCAUUUGAGUGCAUGUGUCUCUGCAAAAUUCAUAUGUUGGAACUUAAAGCCCAGGGUGAUGGUAUUAAGAGGUGGUAGAAAGGCAUUUGGGAAUGGAUUACAUCAUAAAGGCUCUACCCUGAUUAAUGGGAUUAUGGAACAGGCUUCAAAGAGCUACCUGGAACUUCCAUCACUUCUACCAUGUGAAGAUAAACAUGAAUCUCUUUUUUCCCUUAUAUUUCUUCUGCCAUGUGAGAACACAGUAUUUGUCUUUUCCACCUUUCCAUGAUGUGAGGACACCCCAAGAAUGUCCCCUAAAGACAGGAAACAAGACAUGGAAUCUUCUGGCACCAUGAUCUUGGACUUCAUAGCCUCCAAAAUGGUUAGCAAGCUGAAGCAAGGGAAGAGAAGAACAGUUUAAUAAUCAAAGAGCGUGAUUAUAAUGAUGCCCCCAUGGAGCUGAAGAAUAGAGAACCUACAGACCCGCAUGUAUUGAAGUUUGAAACCACCUGUGUAAACAGCACACAGAUGAAGGACCACUUUACCCUGUUUCUCACACCAUAGGUGUCAUAGACAUACUAAUGAAGGGGCUGCCUCACACAGAGAGCUAUCUUACAAGGUUCUGAGAAUAAAAUGAGAGCUAGAAGAGACAUGAUUUCUACUUCAAUAUUUUAUUUGGCAACAUCCUACUGAAAAGACAAGCAAAACCACUAUGAUUCAUAAUACUUGCAGAUGAAGGCAAUAUGACACAAGAAGGUUAAACGGCCUCUCAUGACAAUUGAAGGGAACGAGAGCAAAGCCACCUGCAUAUCUUCGGCAGUUAAAGAUCAGAAUCAUAACAACAAUAACAUCUCACAAUUUUCCAAGUGCUCCUUCGGCUCUGUCUUUUUCCUCCCACCUGAGGCCCCCAGGGUGGGUGUAGACAUUCAUCUCUGCUUCAUUUGAUCCACCUCUGCUUGGCCACUGCUGGACUUUUUCUCAGGCAAAGGAGAACCCCCAGGAGAGUGGAUAAACUGGACCAAGGAGCUGCAGAGGUAGUUUGAUUUCACCACAAUCAUUUCAUCUGUCUUAGCAAAACCCCCUUGGGCUUGCCCUGUAGUACACAAACUUGGCUUUGUUCACGCAGCUCAAAUAGAACACUUCUCCUUCAAAAUUUAACUCAGCUCUCGGAAACACUGAAAGGAAAUGUGGCCUAUAAUUAUCCAACGUGAGAUGCAAGGAUUGAAUGCUUUGUCCAAGCUUUGCUGUUCUAAGAGAAGUCAAGGUGAAGGGUUUAGUGCCUCUGAAGCUGGGGCAAGAAAACAAUCGGCUUCUCCAACGGUCAGUAAAGAAUACAAGGGCACAGUUAAAACAGAGCCACUGAAGUGAACAACCUUCAUGUGACCAACAGGAGAAACACCCCCUCCAGGAACCUAAGACCAGUUUGCUACAAGAAUACAAUUGGUAUUCCCCACAGUCACCCUCACAAGGGACACUUACAAAGCACACUCCAAUCUCAGCCAUUACUGACUGACAAGAGCCUGCCUGUCUGAAGCCUGCAGGCCCGAGAAGCUUCUUUCUCCCUUCUCUUGGCUAUUAGUCACAGCUGGUAAGGCUCACAGGAACCGAGACUGUUUGAAAACAGUUGGAUCACGAAAACGUUUGAGUCUUUCUGCUGCAAGCAACAAACUUGGCCCAGGCUGCCACAAGGAGAUGGAGUGGGAGUGGGGGUGGCGAUGGGAUGCACCAGGAACGAAGGAAGAAAGGGAAAUUGCUAACCACCUCACUUCAAAAUCUUCUCUGAGGGAGCCCGUGGCUAUUAUCCUGGUUCAAAUGUCACAGAUAGAAGAUAAUAAAAACAAGAAGAAAUAAAAUUCAAGAUCCAUUAGAACACUUCUGGAUUGUCCAUUACAGCAUGUAUUACCCAACAGAAAGAUGAUCACUAAUAGAUGACAAGCUAUUUAAUUUUAUGUUUACUUUUGGAAGGAUGCAGGUACUGUGCAGGGUUUCUACAACACAUCAGCAUUGCUUACACCAGUACUUCAAAUAUGAGUUAUUUAAUCACCCAAGUUAAAUGAAAAUAACCAAAUGAUUAAAUAAAAUCAAGUCAUACUUCAUGUGAAGACUUUA